UACGUAGGGGGCUAGCGUUGUCCGGAUUUAUUGGGCGUAAAGAGCGUGUAGGCGGCCAGGUAGGUCUGCUGUGAAAACUCGAGGCUCAACCUCGAGAUGUCGGCGGAAACCAUCUGGCUAGAGUCCGGAAGAGGAGAGUGGAAUUCCCGGUGUAGCGGUGAAAUGCGCAGAUAUCGGGAAGAACACCUAUGGCGAAGGCAGCUCUCUGGGACGGUACUGACGCUGAGACGCGAAAGCGUGGGGAGCGAACAGG
rnacentral:rRNA from 1 species